UACGUAGGGGGCAAGCGUUGUCCGGAAUCAUUGGGCGUAAAGAGCGCGUAGGCGGUCCGGUAAGUCGGUUGUGAAAACUGGGGGCUCAACCCUCAGAGGCCGACCGAUACUGCCGGGCUAGAGUCCGGAAGAGGCGAGUGGAAUUCCUGGUGUAGCGGUGAAAUGCGCAGAUAUCAGGAGGAACACCAAUGGCGAAGGCAGCGUCCUGGCAAGUCACUGACGCUCGAGGUGCGGAAAGCUAGGGGAGCGAACGGG
rnacentral:rRNA from 1 species